UACGAAGGGGGCUAGCGUUGCUCGGAAUCACUGGGCGUAAAGGGUGCGUAGGCGGGUUUUAAGUCAGAGGUGAAAUCCUGGAGCUCAACUCCAGAACUGCCUUUGAUACUGAAAGUCUUGAGUAUGGGAGAGGUGAGUGGAACUGCGAGUGUAGAGGUGAAAUUCGUAGAUAUUCGCAAGAACACCAGUGGCGAAGGCGGCUCACUGGCCCAUAACUGACGCUGAGGCACGAAAGCGUGGGGGAGCAAACAGG
rnacentral:rRNA from 1 species